UACUGUAGGUAAAGGGAUGGACUGUGUGUUCUAUACUGUAGGUGAGGGUAUGGACUGUGUGUUCUAUACUGUAGGUAAAGGUAUGGACUGUGUGAUAUAUACUGUAGGUAAAGGUAUGGACUGUGUGAUCUGUAGGUGAGGAUAUUGACUGUGUGAUCUGUAGGUAAAGGUAUGGACUGUGUGAAUUGUAAGUGAUGGCCUGGACUGUAUGAUAGAUAGUUUUUGUCCCAUCUUGUAUAUGAGACUAAGACAUAAUCAGAAAAAUUAUGAGUUUUGUACCCAGGUUUGCCUGCUCCAAAAUUGUCAAGACUUUCAUGUCUGCUUGAUGUAUAAACUAAAAUGACAAGGAAGUUGUCAACUCCACAGUUAUAUAAAUAACAAGAUAAAUUGAUUUGUGGUUUACACCAUCAAUGACAACUUAAACAUUCACUUAUACAAUGAGUAGUUUGUAUGACAACCGUACACAGAUCAUGUUCUACACCCUUGUAAUGACAAGCUGAUGUCUAAGACAGAAUUGGAAGCUAUUUUAAUUUUAACAGGUAUAAAGUCAUUUGAACAAGAACUUUGUAAAGUUUUCAAAGAUCAUACAAUUGAAGAACUUUGGUCUAGUACCACUGGAUAACUUGUAUCCAAGUCAGUAUAGCGGGGGUUUCAGCUGAUCGACUGAACUACAUUGUAUGUAUCUGAUGUACGUGUAUAAAGCCCUGGUACAGGCUUUAACAUACAUAACUCACCAGACACCUCUGGAAUAGACGGAAAUCCAUGAUACGUAUUCGUGAUUAUCACAGUGUCGAAUUGUUAACUUGCUGAAGUGACACCAACAACAGAUCCUACUAUUCUGACUGUACUACGGGUACUUGCAUUACAGAGGUUAUAGACUGUAAAUUUGUAUGUGUUAGAGGUAGAGAUUUGUGACAUGUGUUUGAUGUAGAGGUCUGUGACAUGUGUUUGAUGUAGAGGUCUGUGACAUGUGUUAGAUGUAGAGGUCUGUGACAUGUGUUUGAUGUAGAGGUCUGUG